rnacentral:rRNA from 1 species
AAAUUGAAGAGUUUGAUCAUGGCUCAGAUUGAACGCUGGCGGCAGGCCUAACACAUGCAAGUCGAACGGUAACAGGAAGAAGCUUGCUGCUUUGCUGACGAGUGGCGGACGGGUGAGUAAUGUCUGGGAAACUGCCUGAUGGAGGGGGAUAACUACUGGAAACGGUAGCUAAUACCGCAUAACGUCGCAAGACCAAAGAGGGGGACCUUCGGGCCUCUUGCCAUCGGAUGUGCCCAGAUGGGAUUAGCUUGUUGGUGGGGUAACGGCUCACCAAGGCGACGAUCCCUAGCUGGUCUGAGAGGAUGACCAGCCACACUGGAACUGAGACACGGUCCAGACUCCUACGGGAGGCAGCAGUGGGGAAUAUUGCACAAUGGGCGCAAGCCUGAUGCAGCCAUGCCGCGUGUAUGAAGAAGGCCUUCGGGUUGUAAAGUACUUUCAGCGGGGAGGAAGGGAGUAAAGUUAAUACCUUUGCUCAUUGACGUUACCCGCAGAAGAAGCACCGGCUAACUCCGUGCCAGCAGCCGCGGUAAUACGGAGGGUGCAAGCGUUAAUCGGAAUUACUGGGCGUAAAGCGCACGCAGGCGGUUUGUUAAGUCAGAUGUGAAAUCCCCGGGCUCAACCUGGGAACUGCAUCUGAUACUGGCAAGCUUGAGUCUCGUAGAGGGGGGUAGAAUUCCAGGUGUAGCGGUGAAAUGCGUAGAGAUCUGGAGGAAUACCGGUGGCGAAGGCGGCCCCCUGGACGAAGACUGACGCUCAGGUGCGAAAGCGUGGGGAGCAAACAGGAUUAGAUACCCUGGUAGUCCACGCCGUAAACGAUGUCGACUUGGAGGUUGUGCCCUUGAGGCGUGGCUUCCGGAGCUAACGCGUUAAGUCGACCGCCUGGGGAGUACGGCCGCAAGGUUAAAACUCAAAUGAAUUGACGGGGGCCCGCACAAGCGGUGGAGCAUGUGGUUUAAUUCGAUGCAACGCGAAGAACCUUACCUGGUCUUGACAUCCACAGAACUUUCCAGAGAUGGAUUGGUGCCUUCGGGAACUGUGAGACAGGUGCUGCAUGGCUGUCGUCAGCUCGUGUUGUGAAAUGUUGGGUUAAGUCCCGCAACGAGCGCAACCCUUAUCCUUUGUUGCCAGCGGUCCGGCCGGGAACUCAAAGGAGACUGCCAGUGAUAAACUGGAGGAAGGUGGGGAUGACGUCAAGUCAUCAUGGCCCUUACGACCAGGGCUACACACGUGCUACAAUGGCGCAUACAAAGAGAAGCGACCUCGCGAGAGCAAGCGGACCUCAUAAAGUGCGUCGUAGUCCGGAUUGGAGUCUGCAACUCGACUCCAUGAAGUCGGAAUCGCUAGUAAUCGUGGAUCAGAAUGCCACGGUGAAUACGUUCCCGGGCCUUGUACACACCGCCCGUCACACCAUGGGAGUGGGUUGCAAAAGAAGUAGGUAGCUUAACCUUCGGGAGGGCGCUUACCACUUUGUGAUUCAUGACUGGGGUGAAGUCGUAACAAGGUAACCGUAGGGGAACCUGCGGUUGGAUCACCUCCUUACCUUAAAGAAGC